rnacentral:ncRNA from 2 species
GUGGUGCAUAGGGCCACCGGCACAAGAUGUAUGCUCAUCCUCGCUGUCGUCGCAGGGGAAUCCGGUGUGAAUCCGGAACUGUCCCGCAACGGUGUACGUGUGUGUUUUUGCGUGCGCGCGUGAGUCCGAGUACCUGCCGACGGCCUCGAACACGU